UACGUAGGGUGCAAGCGUUGUUCGGAAUCAUUGGGCGUAAAGCGCGUGUAGGUGGUUAUGUAAGUCGGGUGUGAAAGCCCUGGGCUCAACCGAGGAAGUGCACUCGAAACUACAUAGCUAGAGGACAGUAGAGGAAGGUGGAAUUCCUAGUGUAGAGGUGAAAUUCGUAGAUAUUAGGAGGAAUACCGGUGGCGAAGGCGGCCUUCUGGGCUGGACCUGACACUGAGACGCGAAAGCGUGGGUAGCAAACAGG
rnacentral:rRNA from 1 species